rnacentral:rRNA from 1 species
UGAGUACGAGAUGCUACGGCAUCGAAGCAGUCUAUGUCAUACUUCCAAGAAAAGCUUGCAAUGUCAUAAACAAAUAAUGCCUGUACCAUAACCGACACAGGUGGGUAGGUAGAGUAUACUAAGGGGCGCGAGAUAACUCUCUCUAAGGAACUCGGCAAAAUGACUCCGUAACUUCGGGAGAAGGAGUGCCUUAUUUUUAUAAGGUUGCAAUAACAAGAUCCAAGCAACUGUUUACCAAAAACACAGGUCUCCGCUAAGUCGUAAGACGAUGUAUGGGGGCUGACGCCUGCCCAGCGCCAGAAGGUUAAAGAAGUUGGUUAGCAUUAGCGAAGCUGAUAACUGAAGCCCUGGUGAACGGCGGCCGUAACAAUAACGGUCCUAAGGUAGCGAAAUUCCUUGUCGGGUAAGUUCCGACCCGCACGAAAGGCGUAAUGAUUUGGAUACUGUCUCGGAGAGGGGCUCGGUGAAAUAGACUUGUCUGUGAGGAUGCGGACUACCUGCACCUGGACAGAAAGACCCUAUGAAGCUUUACUGUAACUUGAGAUUGAAAUUGGACUUUAUCUGCGCAGUAUAGGUGGGAGACGUUGAAAAUAUUCUUGCGGGAAUAUUGGAGUCAUCAGUGAGAUACCACUCUUAUAAUGUUAGAUUUCUAACUUUGUAUCAUUAUCUGGUCAAAGAACAGUUUCAGGCGGGCAGUUUGACUGGGGCGGUCGCCUCCCAAACGGUAACGGAGGCGCACAAAGGUUUCCUCUGAACGUGUAGAAAUCGUAUCUAGAGUGUAAAGGCAUAAGGAAGCUUGACUGUGAGACCUACAAGUCGAGCAGGGACGAAAGUCGGUCUUAGUGAUCUGACGGUGCUGAGUGGAAAGGCCGUCACUCAACGGAUAAAAGUUACUCUAAGGAUAACAGGCUGAUCUCCCCCAAGAGUUCACAUCGACGGGGAGGUUUGGCACCUCGAUGUCGGCUCAUCGCAUCCUGGGGCGGUAGUACGUCCCAAGGGUUGGGCUGUUCGCCCAUGAAAGCGGUACGCGAGCUGGGUUCAGAACGUCGUGAGACAGUUCGGUCCAUAUCCGGUGUAGGCGUUAGAAUAUUGAGAGGAGCCUUCUUUAGUACGAGAGGACCGAGAAGGACAUACCUCUGGUGUACCAGUUAUCGUGCCAACGGUAAACGCUGGGUAGCCAUGUAUGGAGAGGAUAACCGCUGAAAGCAUCUAAGUGGGAAGCCCACCUCAAGAUAAG